rnacentral:misc_RNA from 1 species
UCCGGUUCAUCACCAGCAGUCUCUUUAGAGUCCCCACCAUUACGUGUUGGCAACUAAAGAUAAGGGUUGCGCUCGUUACGGGACUUAACCCAACAUCUCACAACACGAGCUGACGACAGCCAUGCAGCACCUGUCUCAGAGUUCCUUUCGGCACUCCCACGUCUCUGCGGGAUUCUCUGGAUGUCAAGGGUAGGUAAGGUUCUUCGCGUUGCAUCGAAUUAAACCACAUGCUCCACCGCUUGUGCGGGCCCCCGUCAAUUUCUUUGAGUUUUAAUCUUGCGACCGUACUCCCCAGGCGGAAGACUUAUCGCGUUAGCUUCGAUACUGAUCGGUCUUAGCCUACCAACAUCUAGUCUUCAUCGUUUACAGCGUGGACUAC